rnacentral:rRNA from 1 species
UACGUAGGGUGCGAGCGUUAAUCGGAAUUACUGGGCGUAAAGCGUGCGCAGGCGGUGAGCUGUGUCCGAUGUGAAAGCCCCCGGGCUUAACCUGGGAAUGGCAUUGGAAACUGGCUCGCUGGAGUGUGGCAGAGGGGGGUGGAAUUCCGCGUGUAGCAGUGAAAUGCGUAGAGAUGCGGAGGAACACCGAUGGCGAAGGCAGCCCCCUGGGCUAACACUGACGCUCAGGCACGAAAGCGUGGGGAGCAAACAGG